UCAGGAUGAACGCUGGCGGCGCGCCUAACACAUGCAAGUCGAACGGCACCCCUCUCCGGAGGGAAGCGAGUGGCGAACGGCUGAGUAACACGUGGAGAACCUGCCCCCUCCCCCGGGAUAGCCGCCCGAAAGGACGGGUAAUACCGGAUACCCCCGGGCGCCGCAUGGCGCCCGGGCUAAAGCCCCGACGGGAGGGGAUGGCUCCGCGGCCCAUCAGGUAGACGGCGGGGUGACGGCCCACCGUGCCGACAACGGGUAGCCGGGUUGAGAGACCGACCGGCCAGAUUGGGACUGAGACACGGCCCAGACUCCUACGGGAGGCAGCAGUGGGGAAUCUUGCGCAAUGGGGGGAACCCUGACGCAGCGACGCCGCGUGCGGGACGGAGGCCUUCGGGUCGUAAACCGCUUUCAGCAGGGAAGAGUCAAGACUGUACCUGCAGAAGAAGCCCCGGCUAACUACGUGCCAGCAGCCGCGGUAAUACGUAGGGGGCGAGCGUUAUCCGGAUUCAUUGGGCGUAAAGCGCGCGUAGGCGGCCCGGCAGGCCGGGGGUCGAAGCGGGGGGCUCAACCCCCCGAAGCCCCCGGAACCUCCGCGGCUUGGGUCCGGUAGGGGAGGGUGGAACACCCGGUGUAGCGGUGGAAUGCGCAGAUAUCGGGUGGAACACCGGUGGCGAAGGCGGCCCUCUGGGCCGAGACCGACGCUGAGGCGCGAAAGCUGGGGGAGCGAACAGGAUUAGAUACCCUGGUAGUCCCAGCCGUAAACGAUGGACGCUAGGUGUGGGGGGACGAUCCCCCCGUGCCGCAGCCAACGCAUUAAGCGUCCCGCCUGGGGAGUACGGCCGCAAGGCUAAAACUCAAAGGAAUUGACGGAAG
rnacentral:rRNA from 1 species